AAGUAAGGAUUGUGCCUUUGAAUCAGAUGUGUAGUGCUAGGGCAAAAAACAAAACGUGCACCCCUUGGGGUCCCCAGGACCGAGUUCGGGAAACACUGGAUUAGGAGUCUCACUCAAUUUCGGCUGAUGCCAACUUCUGGAGGUCGCAGUGGGGCAACGAUAUUUGGCUUUCCCAUGGAUCUGAACGCUCCGCUGGUGUCACUACAAUGAAAAAUACCUUUGGUGGUUGGUGGAGGAGUUCAUGUUGCUUGGCAACGUGCUGUUCUACAGACACUUCACCUCGCUGCAACGCUGAUGUCAUCAUCCACAGGCUGGCAGACUCUCUGGGCUGUGGUCCUCUUCUGUAGCGGAGGUGCAGAAGCAGGCGUCCCGCUGUAACGAUGACGUGACUGCCUCCGAGAGAGUCCAGGAGCUCAGCUCUCAGCUGUUCUUCAUCAUGGAGAUCUCCAUCUUUAGUCUGGACAGCUGAGGGCAGACGGAGCUCCUAUGAAAUACAGUGCUGUAAUCAARAGGCCCAAUGAGACAUCGUCGUGGAUACUACGAUAAAGCACACACAUCGAUAAGACAGACCGAGCUCUGCUGAAUAAGCUUACUUGGACAGUAUUGUGCGCUUGACAACACACACAUGAUAACACACAUGUCAUUGCACAUGUUCUUUUGUAUGUAUUAGAAAAGCCAUUUUUUAUUUUACUUCAUGGUUCAACUACCAUCGAGGAGCCAAGGCUCUGAAGUAGCACAGUGUUAUUUAAAUACGGCCUGGACCGCUUUGAAAUGAACUGUAAAAGUGCCAAUACUGCAAUGAAUAACGUUUUAUAUUUAGCAGUUUUGACCCUAUGUAAUUUUUUGCAAAAGUAUAUACACAGUCGAUGUGUGAAGAUAAUAUAAACUAAACAUGGUUUAAACUAAGCUGUUCUAUUAAUGUCGAGAUUUACAGUAACUCGCCAUUUCAGUCRCAAUGCAAUUCGUUGAUUAGUGGUAGCAGUCACCUUGCAAGAACUUGUUUUUCCCCAUCAAUUCAUAGUAUGACACUCUGUCCCACUUUAAAUAAAUUACUUUAAAGGUUUAAUAAACCCUUUUUAUAAUGACUAUUUUAAAGCAAAUUCAUACAACAUAUAACAGGAUAACAUGACGCUCAGCCAAGUGCUUUGCCAUGUGUAUUGGGACCACAAAUGUUCCGCAAAUGUUUAAGUUGCCAGUAGGAAGGAAUUCUUGAUACCAUAUUCAAACUCACAAAUCGAAUACGUUGAUAUAGCAAUUUUACUCUCUAGUGUAACUCCCAGUCCUCAACUCCUGUUUAGUCUCUGUGCCCAGAUUAGGAAUUACAUCUGGAUUUACCUUCAACCAGUGGUGUAAAGUACUUAGGUAAAAAUAGUUUGGGGUAUGUGUACUUUACUAUUAUAUUUUUGAGUUUUUACUUCGCUACAUUCCUAAAGAAAAUAUAAUUUUUACGCUGUAGAUUUUUACUGAC